CAGGGGAGAAAGGUAAAACUACAAGUGAAAUUCAAAUGGCUCACAAUUUUUCAUUACCACCAUUAAGUCCAACUGGUUAGAUAGAGAGCACGUUGUCUUUGGCAAGGUUAUCCAAGGAAUGGACUACGUAUAUGCAAUUGAAGGCGGAGCAGGAACCUAUACUAUUGCAAGCCUGCACAAAUAGGGUCAAAAAAGCAAGAUGAUUCUUUGACCACAAGAUGUUCUCUCUCUCUCCGGUCUUCACUUUUAUAAGCAAUUGUCCCUCAAACUUGUAGGCUCAUCUGUUACACCAGU